rnacentral:lncRNA from 1 species
GCUUGGCUCGUCACCCCUUCACCCGGUGCGCCUGGGCCGUGUCCGGGCCCACGCCGGACCCGCCGGCACCUCGAUCUUGCGCGUGGCCCCGCACCCAGCCCUCCCCGGAGCUCAGGUGCACUGGGCCGGGAGACACCGCUGGGCUGCGCGGCGUGGGAAGAGCCUGCAGAGCGCGUGGUGGGGACCUGGUGGCAGGAGGAACAGCAUCAGCCCUGGUCGCACCACUUUCCCCGCUCCCCCAACCCAGGAGGCUGCCUCCAGGGAAGACCUGGGGUCCUUCCUGCACUCAGCGCUGGCUGGCUGUCCUGUUCAUGCAGUGGAAGACAUUACAGAAGAAUUCAUACGAGAAGAACAUGAAGCCUGUGGAGAGGGCAGCCUUCAGCAAGCUGGGGGACAGGCCCUUGAAGAAGCCCAGGGCGCCUUCCUUUUGCAGCACCUGCUUGGCACAGUCCAUGAGGCCCUUGUAUCUCCGUACCUGGGGAGAGGAAAGGGAUGAAAAUAUGGAUGCCCGCUCUGCUCCCAUCAACACAGCCCCUGGCACAUCACAGAUCUUAAGAAGUACUUGCUGGACAAAGAAAUGAAUGCAAAAUAGCAAAUUAUUUUAUUUUUUCGUUGAGGCAGAGUCUCACUCUGUUGCCCAGGCUGGAAUGCAGUGGCACAAUCUUGGCUCACUGCAGCCUCUGCCUCCCAGGUUCAAGUGAUUCUCCUGCCUCAGCCUCCUGAGUAGCUGGGAUUACAGGCACACAACACCACGCCUGGCUAAUUUUUUGUAUUUUUAGUAGAGAUGCAGUUUCGCCAUGUUGGCCAGGCUGGUCUUGAACUCCUGACCUCAGGUGAUCCACCUGCUUCAGCCUCCCAAUGUGCUGGGAUUACAGGCAUGGACAACCAUGCCCAGCUCAAAAUAGCAAAUAAAUUAAUUUCAUUCUUUCUACUGUAAUUGGGUUAAGACUGAACAGAUGACAGGCCUAGAAAUCAGAAGCUGGACAGCGCUCCUUCCUGCCCAGGAAGAACGGCUGCCUGUGGCUCCAAAGGAUCCAGCAAUGGCUCCAGAACCUCUUCCCAGAGGCAUCUCUGACCCUUCAUCCCAUCCCACCUGAUCCCCCUUGGGCAGCAGAUCUGAACCUGGCCCUCAGUAGCUCUCAGCCGGGCCUCCCUGCCUCCAGCCUCACCCUCUCCAGCUGACCUCACACACUGCUGCCAGACAUUCAUCCCCAGGCACAACCCUCCUCAAGCCUGGCUUCCCUCCAAAAGCUGCAGUAACUCCUAGUGACGACAUCAUGAGAAAUCAAGUCCAAACCCCAAGAUCUGCCGUUUAAGGCACUGCACCAUUUGGCCUUGAUUUCCCUCCCUGAUCUGACCUCCACUGGUCCUCCCACGUGCCCUUCCCACCUCUGGCCAAACUGGAUUACACUAGUCUUUGUUAGCAGUAAGGCCUCCCUCUGCCAUCCUGGGCUCUCACCAUCGGCUCCCUGUCCAAAUUCAAACUGUCCCUUCAUGCUGGGUGCAGUGGUGCAUGCCUGCAGUCCCAGCUACUUGGGAGGCUGAGAGGGGAGGAUCGCUUGAGCCCAGGAGUUCGAGACCAGCCCAGGCAACAGAGCGAUAUCCCAUUUAAAAAAAGAAAGAAAGAAAAGAAAACAAACUCUCCCUUCAGGACAAGUUGGUAAGUGGAAAAGGGAGGUUACAAACCUUGUAUACAGUGUAUCCGUAUUUUUGUUAAAAUGUACAUGUGUAUUUAUGAAAAGAAAUAAAACUACACUGAAAGGU